GACUUAUUUUUAGCUGGAAAUCGUUUCUUCUUCAAGUGUACCCAUACUUGUUCUCCAACCUCAAAGAUCAUUCUGAAAUAAGCAAUAGGUUUCUUAUCCUGUAUCACAACAUCUCCAAUGCCAGUUCUCACAAAGAAAUUAGACGAGAGAACUUCUAAGUCCGGUGGCUCCUCUUUUGUACCUGCAAUGUUGUCAACAGCUUUGGCAAAGAGCAAGUGUGUUAUCACAGUCAUGGAAUCACUAUAACCAAGUAAACA
rnacentral:lncRNA from 1 species